AUGUUUAGCAUUUGGCAACAUAGAAUUUCGUCGAUGUACGGCUUUGGCUUGGAGAUUUUGUCAACAUCAAAUUUUGACAAUUUCGUGAUGAAGCACGAGCGGAGCUCUGAAAAUGCAAUGUUCGCUGUGGCCGACGAGGCGCAGACUGUGGGUGAGUGGUGGGAGAGGCUCUGCUCCGCCGGCGGAUCGAAGGAGCAAAACAGGUUGAAUAUGACCGUGGCAGCCUACACUGUGUGGAACCUCUGGAAGGAGAGAAAUCAACGAGUAUUCGAGAAUAAAGAGCUGACUGCUACUGCUCUAGCUGGGCUCAUCAAGGAUGACAUCAAGUGCUUUGGGGAGGCAACUAGAGGGAUUCCCUUUGUAGGGCCGUAA
rnacentral:rRNA from 1 species